AUUAAACGCUGGCGGCAUGCCUUACACAUGCAAGUCGAACGGUAGCGCGGGGCAACCUGGCGACGAGUGGCGAACGGGUGAGUAAAGCAUCGGAACGUGCCCUGGAAUGGGGGAUAACGUAGCGAAAGUUACGCUAAUACCGCAUAUUCUGUGAGCAGGAAAGCAGGGGAUCGCAAGACCUUGCGUUCUGGGAGCGGCCGAUGUCGGAUUAGCUAGUUGGUGGGGUAAAAGCCUACCAAGGCGACGAUCCGUAGCGGGUCUGAGAGGAUGAUCCGCCACACUGGGACUGAGACACGGCCCAGACUCCUACGGGAGGCAGCAGUGGGGAAUUUUGGACAAUGGGCGAAGCCUGAUCCAGCCAUGCCGCGUGAGUGAAGAAGGCC
rnacentral:rRNA from 1 species